rnacentral:rRNA from 1 species
UACAGAGGUCCCAAGCGUUGUUCGGAUUCACUGGGCGUAAAGGGUGCGUAGGCGGUCGGGUAAGUCUGAUGUGAAAUCUCACAGCUUAACUGUGAAACUGCAUUGGAUACUAUCCGGCUCGAGGAAUGGAGGGGAGACUGGAAUACUUGGUGUAGCAGUGAAAUGCGUAGAUAUCAAGUGGAACACCAGUGGCGAAGGCGAGUCUCUGGACAUUUCCUGACGCUGAGGCGCGAAAGCCAGGGGAGCAAACGGG